CACAAAGUGUGUGACGAUUACACAUGAGAGAGUCAUUAUCAGCCGCUGAUACACAGUAACCAUCUCCCUCAUUCAUACUGAUUAGCGCAGGUUCAUACCAAUCAGGGGCUGGGAGGGCUUUGUACACACAGGAAGGCUGCACUCUAAGUCAUGCCUAAAAUACAAGCAAUAUUUAACAUCCCGGCUGAAGCUGGUUUUUGGCAGCGUCGAGAAUUGGUAUUGUAUUAAAAUGUCUGUUAUGUUGAGUACAAACCGCAUAUUUUAAGAAUGUGACUUACCCCCAGGGAAAAUUAACCGAAUAAUGAUUGUAAAUGGCCUGAAUGAUGGUGGGAACCUGGAAAGACGGAAUUAAAGAUACUCCGCUACUUACCCGAUUAACAGGACAUAUGCAAAAAUAGCUAGACAGAGGAUCCAGUCAUAAUCUUUAUAUUACAUAGAUUUGGUUUGUGCCUCGAAGUGUUGAGAUUGGAAAAUUAUCAGUAUUAAAAGCAUCCAAGUACACACUGCCUUCUUAUACAACCUAGAACAAUAGCCUAUGAGCAUCCAGCGACAUACUGUGUGUUAUUAUAACCUAGAACGAUAACCUACGAGCAUCCAGCGACAUACUGUGUGUUAUUAUAACCUACGCGCAUCCAGCUAGACACCGUCUUAAUAUAACCCAGCCUAGAACAAUAACUGAAAGGGUUAAAAAUGAAGUAUGUGACUACACUAAAUAGAC